UGUUCUGUAGCUUAGUUGGUUAAAGCGCCGGUCUAGCGUAUACGGAGUCGUGAGUUCGAGUCUCACUAGAACGC
rfam:Aedes aegypti strain Liverpool supercont1.354 genomic scaffold, whole genome shotgun sequence.